AUUGAACGCUGGCGGCAUGCCUUACACAUGCAAGUCGAACGGCAGCACGGGAGCUUGCUCCUGGUGGCGAGUGACGAACGGGUGAGUAAUACAUCGGAACGUACCCUGAAGUGGGGGAUAACGUAGCGAAAGUUACGCUAAUACCGCAUAUUCUGUGAGCAGGAAAGAGGGGGAUCGCAAGACCUCUUGCUUUAGGAGCGGCCGAUGUCGGAUUAGCUAGUUGGUGAGGUAAAGGCUCACCAAGGCGACGAUCCGUAGCGGGUCUGAGAGGAUGAUCCGCCACACUGGGACUGAGACACGGCCCAGACUCCUACGGGAGGCAGCAGUGGGGAAUUUUGGACAAUGGGCGCAAGCCUGAUCCAGCCAUGCCGCGUGAGUGAAGAAGGCCUUCGGUUGUAAAGACUCUUUCGGUGGGAAGAAAGUUGCACAAGGAUAAUACCUUGCGUAGAUGACGGUACCCGCAUAAGAAG
rnacentral:rRNA from 1 species